AAUCUACUUGUUCGAUUCCUUAAACGGAUAACUGCGGUAAUUCUGGAGCCAAUACGUGCUAAAAAGCCGACGUAGCAAUACGGCGGUUGCACUUAUCGGAGCAAAAUCAAUCUUGAUUCGAUGCUAACUCUGGAUAACCAAGCUUAUCGCAUGGCGCAAGCCGGCGAAGUAACAUUCGAGUAUCUGCCCUAUCAUCUAUCGUAGGUAGUGUAUUGGACUACCCAGGAUGUAACGGGUAACGGAGAAUCAGGGUUCGACUCCGGAGAGGGAGCCUUAGAAACGGCUACCAUCGCUAAGGCGAGCAGCAGGCGCGCAACUUAUCCACUGUCCACUCGGACGAGAUAGUGACGAGAAAUAACAAGUUCGUUCUCUUUGAGGUCGAGCAUUGGAAUGGACCGAAUGUAAACGAUUCGGUGAGUACCCACGAGAGGGCAAGUCUGGUGCCAGCAGCCGCGGUAAUUCCAGCUCUCGUAAUGUAUAGAAUUAUUGUUGCGGUUAAAAAGUUCGUAGUUGGAUUUCAUACCGUUUGUGGGUCGUGUCUAACGACGCGCUACUCACGACGGUGUUUCUACAGAGACGGCUUCGGCCGCCUCUAUAGGGAUUACUUUGAACGGCUUAAGUGCUCAAGGCGAGUCUUCGGACUGAAUACCGGUGCAUGGAAUAAUGGAACAAGGUUUCGACUGAGUUUUAUUGGUUUUGUCGGUUGAGACAAUGGUUAACAGGAACAGCUGGGGGGCACUCGUAUCCCGGCGCGAGAGGUGAAAUUCGUGGACCGUCGGGAGACGCCCUAAAGCGAAA
rnacentral:rRNA from 1 species